AUUUAAUUGUUUUUUAAUUGUUUUAUUCCAUGGCAGAAAGGGGAGGCUUCCACAGUAAUGCUUGAAUUAGCAAAGCAAAACAAAACAAAGAGAGAGAGAGAGCGAGAGAGAGAGAGUCAUUUUAUAACUAAUUAGCAAAUUCACACACGAAAGAGUCAGGGAAGACAUAAAAUGAGGUUGGCAUCCUGUUUAUUUCAUUCAGUUCUGUAUAAACUGAUAAUAUUUGUUUACAAUAAGAGAAACAUUGACACUUGUAAGAAUCUGUUGUACACAAUGUACAGAUCACAAACACUGCUUCCUGUGUGAAUUUCAGAUUGUCAUACAGAAAAUAUAUAGCUGUUUUCAAACAUCUUUUGCCUGCCUUUUUUUUCUCCAAUCGUGGGAUUCUAUUAACACAGGGAACUUUUUUUUUCAUAAAAGGGAACAAAAAGCAAAAUUAGUAUAACUGUAAUGUAAUAUAACUUGCAAAAACUUAAUAAAAAGCUACGUGCGCAAAGCAAUAGAGAGGAGUACACAUACCUGAACAGACAUUAAGGACACAAGUGUGUGUGUGUUUGUUUGCAGAAUAUGCGUCUCAUUUUACACGUGGAACAAAAACAUGUGAAACUACCUGAGUAUAUAGUCAUGACACCGUCAUUACUGCACGCAAGUCUCAGGAACUUGUUUUGUACAGGAAAUUAAAUUAAAAUAAUGACAUUAUCUAAUGCAAGAGUAUAAACCCACCAAAUGUACAGUGAUUUUCUUUGGUAGAUCGCCUAUUUGUAAUAACAUUCCCCUGAGCCCUUAAACACCACUGUUUCACUACAAAUGAAGAUUCAAACAGACAAUAAUAAAAUAGAAAGUGGGAUUAUCCUCAUGUUUUAUGGAAGUGAUUCAGACUUGCAUCUUGAAUGACUCUUUCUCAUUAUCAUUUGUUGUUUAAGGGCUCAGUCUUUCAGGAUUCAACAGUGUCAAGAAAGCUGGCUGUCAUCGAGACCAGAGGAAGGACAUGUGAAGCGUCCAGCUGAACCAUUUAUGUAAGAAUCUUUCAUCUGCUGCUUAUACUAAAUAAAAACAUUCAAGAUUAUUAGCUUUCUGUUUAUGUGAAAAAGCAUGUGAUUUUGUGAAGAAGAAAAAUCGUUCAAAACUGACUAUUCCCCAAAUGAUAACUAAACUUCUCAAAGUAGUUUGCUAUUUUGAUUCGAUAAACCAAAUAGGACAUUUUGUAUUAUAAAACGGUCACAAGUAGCCUAAGCAACUCAAAGGAGAUGAUUGAGGAAGUGAUGUCACACAGGAUUGGUUGCGUUACAAAUGUCUCUAGUUUGAAAUACAAUCAGCAAAAGUUAACAAAAAAGACCAAUUUUGUUUUCACAAUUACCAAACAGUCUGUAGCAGUUGAGACAUGGGUAUUUUUGAAGCCCAUGAGACCCAGUGUUUCACUUGUUUCUUUUUAAUCAUGCUUUCCUUUUCCUUUCUUCUGUUUCUUUCCAUUUUCCGUGACCUCCGAUGUCUUGCUGGUGCCAUUGGAGAUGCCGUUCACGGCAGGUUUGGCCGACUUGAGGCGUGGCUGGCGGCGGUAUGUCUGGUAGUAGAAAUUGG